rnacentral:sRNA from 1 species
UGAUUACGAAUUGGUGUUUCGAAUGGAA